ACAAUGCCAAAGACCACUGCAACUGC
rnacentral:piRNA from 1 species